GACAGAGGGUGCAAACGUUGUUCGGAAUUACUGGGCGUAAAGCGCGUGUAGGCUGUCUCGCAAGUCGGGUGUGAAAGCCCUGGGCUCAACCUAGGAAGUGCACUCGAAACUGCGAGACUCGAGUCCUGGAGAGGAAGGCGGAAUUCUCGGUGUAGAGGUGAAAUUCGUAGAUAUCGAGAGGAACACCGGUGGCGAAGGCGGCCUUCUGGACAGUGACUGACGCUGAGACGCGAAAGCGUGGGGAGCAAACAGG
rnacentral:rRNA from 1 species